AUGCUCACUUCGGCAGCACAUAUGCUAAAAUUGGAACGAUACAGAGAAGAUUAGCAUGGCCCUGUGCAAGGAUGAUACGCAAAUUCGUGAAGUGUUCCAUAUUUUU
rnacentral:snRNA from 1 species